rnacentral:snRNA from 1 species
GUGCUCACUUCAGCAGCAUGUACACUAAAAUUGGAACGAUACAGAGAAGAUUAGCAUGGCCCCUGUGCAGGGAUGACAUGCAAAUUCGUGAAGCGUUCCAUAUUUCU